rnacentral:rRNA from 1 species
UACGGGGGGGGCAAGCGUUGUUCGGAAUUACUGGGCGUAAAGGGCUCGUAGGCGGCCAACUAAGUCGGAUGUGAAAUCCCCAGGCUUAACCUGGGAACUGCAUCCGAUACUGGAUGGCUUGAAUCCGGGAGAGGGAUGCAGAAUUCCAGGUGUAGCGGUGAAAUGCGUAGAUAUCUGGAGGAAUACCGGUGGCGAAGGCGGCAUCCUGGACCGGCAUUGACGCUGAGGAGCGAAAGCGUGGGGAGCAAACAGG